UUUACUCUCUCUCUCUCUAUAGAAUCUCAUUCUCUGUCUAAAAUCUCAUUCUCUCUCUAGAAUCACAUACCCUCUCUCAAGAACACAACUCUGUCUAGAAUCUCAUUCUCUCUCUAGAAUCAUAUACUCUCUCUCAAGAACACAAGCCACAAGCCUAAGCUGCUUCCCCUCUGAGCUGCUAACGUCACGAGCUCAUGUGGGACUACACCAGCAGCAGGGCCGGCUCUGGGCCCGGCAAACCCGUGCUGACGCCCGAGGCCCAAAAUUUCAAAGGGCCCGAAAAGUCUUUAUAAGCUUGUAUAUAUUUAUUAAAUUAUAUAUUUAGUAUAUUUAUCCGUUUAUUAUGCAAAAAGUAUUGGUGGUGUAGUGGCAAAAAUCAUCUCAAAAUAAUGUAAAGGUCUCAAGUUCGACUCUUUGCUCCAUCACUAAGUUUUUAUUUUUGUAAUUCAUUUACCCUUAACCAUAAUUUUAGGUCCAAUUUCUUUCGUCGCCCGAGACCUAAAUUUUUUGCUCCAUCGCCGAUAUUAGACCGAUAUAUCACUGAUAUAUAUUGGUGUUAGAUUGCUAUAUAUAUAAAUUCGGCAUUAUAUUAAAAUUACCGAGAUCCCACUGAUAUCUCACCGAGAUAACCUAUAUCUCAAAUAUCGAUCCUUGACCGAUAUCCGAUAUUUUACCGUAUUAACUGCAUAGGUUAAAAGCUAAACUGAAAGCUACAAUUACAUACAAACAUCAUCGUAAUUUUUGUUUAAUACUCACAGCGAUAAAUACAACAGAAGUCUUAGGACCCUUCAACAACAAUAUCACAAGGUUAAGUUUAGUUUUGCUUCUCCAAGAAAGACUUCAACUGCCAUGCUAUGGGCAAAGAAAUAUUUCAGAUCUUACACUCAGUUUGUAUCAAGGGUAUGCUACAAACGAGCCUGCUUAAAAUGGCGAAGUUAUCAGUGAAAGGGAAGUGCUUACCAAAGAGAAGCUAUUUGAAAUCAUUUCACAAAAUUAUAUCAGUAGAAAGUACCAAUCCAUGGUUCUAUAUGUAUCUGCUUGUCAUAGCGGAAGCAUGUUCUCGGAUUACGACACUAGGUACAGGAGGAUAAACGUCUACAUAAUGACCUCCUGUCUUCCUGAUGAAGUUUCUUCUAAGGUUAUGAAGUCAGAUGAACAAAAUACCCAUUUCAGCACUCAGUUUGGAGUUGCCUGGACCAAAGACAGCGAUAAAUACAACAGAAGUAAAAGGACCCUUCAACAACAAUAUCACAAGGUUAAGUUUAGUCUUGCUUCUCCAAGAAAGCCUUCAACUGCCAUGCAAUAUGGGCAAAAAAUAUUUUAGAUCUUACACUCAGUUUGUAUCAAGGGUAUGAUACAAACGAGCCUGCUUAAAAUGGCGAAGGUUGGUUUUGUCUAUUCAUAAGAAACAUAUUAUAAUUUUAGGCUUGAGUGACUUUUAUGGUCUCAAUGUUAGAUUAGUUUUUGGGUUUUAAACAACAUUGGUAUCCUGAUGUGCAAAUUCGAUCUAUAGUAUUGGUGGGUUUCUAACUGUUUGCAUGUCUGCUAUAACUAGAUAUGUUUUGAGUCAUUGGGCAGUUUGUUGAUAGUCUGAUUGUACUUGAUGUGUAUGAGAAAUGGUGUUCGUGUAAAGGUGGCAAGAUGGUUUGGUUGGGUCAUUAGUUAAGUACGCAUCAUUUAUAGCUUAGUCUUUGUAGGUCAGCAGCAGGUAGGUUUGUUGACCGGGUGCGUUGGUUAUUCUUUCUCAUUUUUGGACCCACAAGUUGUAGUUGUAGGAUUAUUUGCUGGAAUAUCAGCUACAGUUUUGUAGGUCAGCCAGUAGCAAGUAGCAGGUAGGUUUGUCGAUUAGGUUGUUGUCUCACAUUUUCUGAAUUACAAGUUAUAGUUGUAGGCAUAUAUCAGCAAUGCGAUAUGAGUGUAGGUGCUAGAAGUACCAAACCUUCAUAAGUUAUGCUUUUCUUGUAUGUUCCAGCUCUGACCCAGAUACAAACAGGUCGAUCCGAUUAAAAUAAAAGGUUGUGAAUGUGGUUUAGGUUGACGAGGAGGAGCUAUAUUGUGAGA